GGCUGGGUAGCUCAGUUGGUUAGAGCAUUGUCCUGAUAUGCCAAGGUUUCAGGUUUGGUUCCUGGUCAGGACA
rnacentral:tRNA from 1 species